UUCCUACGGGAGGCAGCAGUCGGGAAUUUUGCCCAAUGGACGAAAGUCUGAGGCAGCAACUCCGCGUGAGGGACGAAGGCUCUAGGGUCGUAAACCUCUUUUCUCAGGGAAGAUCCAAGACGGUACCUGAGGAAUAAUCCACGGCUAACUACGUGCCAGCAGCCGCGGUAAUACGUAGGUGGCAAGCGUUGUCCGGAUUUACUGGGCGUAAAGAGCGCGCAGGCGGCUGGUCAAGUCCGAUGUGAAAUCUCCCGGAUAAACUGGGAAACUGCGUCGGAAACGGAUCGGGUUGAAGGUGGGAGAGGGCAGUGGAAUUCCCGGUGUAGUGGUGAAAUGCGUAGAUAUCGGGAGGAACACCAGUGGCGAAGGCGACUGCCUGGCCCAUUCUUGACGCUGAGGCGCGAAAGCUAGGGGAGCAAACGGGAUUAGAUACCCCGGUAGUC
rnacentral:rRNA from 1 species